rnacentral:rRNA from 1 species
GAUGAACGCUGGCGGCGUGCCUGAUACAUGCAAGUCGAGCGAACAGACGAGGAGCUUGCUCCUCUGACGUUAGCGGCGGACGGGUGAGUAACACGUGGAUAACCUACCUAUAAGACUGGGAUAACUUCGGGAAACCGGAGCUAAUACCGGAUAAUAUAUUGAACCGCAUGGUUCAAUAGUGAAAGACGGUUUUGCUGUCACUUAUAGAUGGAUCCGCGCCGCAUUAGCUAGUUGGUAAGGUAACGGCUUACCAAGGCGACGAUGCGUAGCCGACCUGAGAGGGUGAUCGGCCACACUGGAACUGAGACACGGUCCAGACUCCUACGGGAGGCAGCAGUAGGGAAUCUUCCGCAAUGGGCGAAAGCCUGACGGAGCAACGCCGCGUGAGUGAUGAAGGUCUUCGGAUCGUAAAACUCUGUUAUUAGGGAAGAACAAAUGUGUAAGUAACUAUGCACGUCUUGACGGUACCUAAUCAGAAAGCCACGGCUAACUGCGUG